rnacentral:rRNA from 1 species
CGGAGAACUGAAACAUCUUAGUACCCGGAGGAAGAGAAAGAAAAAUCGAUUCCCUGAGUAGCGGCGAGCGAAACGGGAAGAGCCCAAACCAACAAGCUUGCUUGUUGGGGUUGUAGGACACUCUAUACGGAGUUACAAAAGAACAUGUUAGACGAAUCAUCUGGAAAGAUGAAUCAAAGAAGGUAAUAAUCCUGUAGUCGAAAACAUAUUCUCUCUUGAGUGGAUCCUGAGUACGACGGAGCACGUGAAAUUCCGUCGGAAUCUAGGAGGACCAUCUCCUAAGGCUAAAUACUCUCUAGUGACCGAUAGUGAACCAGUACCGUGAGGGAAAGGUGAAAAGUACCCCGGAAGGGGAGUGAAAGAGAACUUGAAACCGUGUGCUUACAAGUAGUCAGAGCCCGUUUAUGGGUGAUGGCGUGCCUUUUGUAGAAUGAACCGGCGAGUUACGAUCUGAUGCAAGGUUAAGCAGCGAAUGUGGAGCCGUAGCGAAAGCGAGUCUGAAUAGGGCGUUGAGUAUUUGGUCGUAGACCCGAAACCAGGUGAUCUACCCUUGGUCAGGUUGAAGUUCAGGUAACACUGAAUGGAGGACCGAACCGACUUACGUUGAAAAGUGAGCGGAUGAACUGAGGGUAGCGGAGAAAUUCCAAUCGAACUUGGAGAUAGCUGGUUCUCUCCGAAAUAGCUUUAGGGCUAGCCUCAAGUGAUGAUUAUUGGAGGUAGAGCACUGUUUGGACGAGGGGCCCCUCUCGGGUUACCGAAUUCAGACAAACUCCGAAUGCCAAUCAAUUUAACUUGGGAGUCAGAACAUGGGUGAUAAGGUCCGUGUUCGAAAGGGAAACAGCCCAGACCACCAGCUAAGGUCCCAAAAUAUAUGUUAAGUGGAAAAGGAUGUGGCGUUGCCCAGACAACUAGGAUGUUGGCUUAGAAGCAGCCAUCAUUUAAAGAGUGCGUAAUAGCUCACUAGUCGAGUGACACUGCGCCGAAAAUGUACCGGGGCUAAACAUAUUACCGAAGCUGUGGAUUGUCCUUCGGACAAUGGUAGGAGAGCGUUCUAAGGGCGUUGAAGCAUGAUCGCAAGGACAUGUGGAGCGCUUAGAAGUGAGAAUGCCGGUGUGAGUAGCGAAAGACGGGUGAGAAUCCCGUCCACCGAUUGACUAAGGUUUCCAGAGGAAGGCUCGUCCGCUCUGGGUUAGUCGGGUCCUAAGCUGAGGCCGACAGGCGUAGGCGAUGGAUAACAGGUUGAUAUUCCUGUACCACCUAGUAUCGUUUUAAUCGAUGGGGGGACGCAGUAGGAUAGGCGAAGCGUGCUGUUGGAGUGCACGUCCAAGCAGUAAGGCUGAGUGUUAGGCAAAUCCGGCACUCGUUAGGCUGAGCUGUGAUGGGGAGAGGAAAUUGUUUCCUUGAGUCGUUGAUUUCACACUGCCGAGAAAAGCCUCUAGAUAGAUAACAGGUGCCCGUACCGCAAACCGACACAGGUAGUCAAGAUGAGAAUUCUAAGGUGAGCGAGCGAACUCUCGUUAAGGAACUCGGCAAAAUGACCCCGUAACUUCGGGAGAAGGGGUGCUCUUUAGGGUUCACGCCCAGAAGAGCCGCAGUGAAUAGGCCCAAGCGACUGUUUAUCAAAAACACAGGUCUCUGCUAAACCGUAAGGUGAUGUAUAGGGGCUGACGCCUGCCCGGUGCUGGAAGGUUAAGAGGAGUGGUUAGCUUCUGCGAAGCCACGAAUCGAAGCCCCAGUAAACGGCGGCCGUAACUAUAACGGUCCUAAGGUAGCGAAAUUCCUUGUCGGGUAAGUUCCGACCCGCACGAAAGGCGUAACGAUUUGGGCACUGUCUCAACGAGAGACUCGGUGAAAUCAUAGUACCUGUGAAGAUGCAGGUUACCCGCGACAGGACGGAAAGACCCCGUGGAGCUUUACUGUAGCCUGAUAUUGAAAUUCGGCACAGCUUGUACAGGAUAGGUAGGAGCCAUUGAAACGUGAGCGCUAGCUUACGUGGAGGCGUUGGUGGGAUACUACCCUAGCUGUGUUGGCUUUCUAACCCGCACCACUUAUCGUGGUGGGAGACAGUGUCAGGCGGGCAGUUUGACUGGGGCGGUCGCCUCCUAAAAGGUAACGGAGGCGCUCAAAGGUUCCCUCAGAAUGGUUGGAAAUCAUUCACAGAGUGUAAAGGCAUAAGGGAGCUUGACUGCGAGACCUACAAGUCGAGCAGGGUCGAAAGACGGACUUAGUGAUCCGGUGGUUCCGCAUGGAAGGGCCAUCGCUCAACGGAUAAAAGCUACCCCGGGGAUAACAGGCUUAUCUCCCCCAAGAGUUCACAUCGACGGGGAGGUUUGGCACCUCGAUGUCGGCUCAUCGCAUCCUGGGGCUGUAGUCGGUCCCAAGGGUUGGGCUGUUCGCCCAUUAAAGCGGUACGCGAGCUGGGUUCAGAACGUCGUGAGACAGUUCGGUCCCUAUCCGUCGUGGGCGUAGGAAAUUUGAGAGGAGCUGUCCUUAGUACGAGAGGACCGGGAUGGACAUACCUCUGGUGUACCAGUUGUCGUGCCAACGGCAUAGCUGGGUAGCUAUGUAUGGACGGGAUAAGUGCUGAAAGCAUCUAAGCAUGAAGCCCCCCUCAAGAUGAGAUUUCCCAACUUCGGUUAUAAGAUCCCUCGAAGAUGACGAGGUUAAUAGGUUCGAGGUGGAAGCGUGGUGACACGUGGAGCUGACGAAUACUAAUCGAUCGAAGACUUAAUCAA